GCUUACGGCCAUACCACCCUGAACAAGCCCGAUCUCAUCCGAUCUCGGAAGCUAAGCAGGGUCGGGCCUGGUUAGUACUUGGAUGGGAGACCGCCUGGGAAUACCAGGUGCUGUAAGCU
rnacentral:rRNA from 1 species